rnacentral:rRNA from 1 species
GAUGAACGCUGGCGGCGUGCCUAAUACAUGCAAGUCGAGCGAACAGACGAGGAGCUUGCUCCUCUGACGUUAGCGGCGGACGGGUGAGUAACACGUGGAUAACCUACCUAUAAGACUGGGAUAACUUCGGGAAACCGGAGCUAAUACCGGAUAAUAUAUUGAACCGCAUGGUUCAAUAGUGAAAGACGGUUUUGCUGUCACUUAUAGAUGGAUCCGCGCCGCAUUAGCUAGUUGGUAAGGUAACGGCUUACCAAGGCAACGAUGCGUAGCCGACCUGAGAGGGUGAUCGGCCACACUGGAACUGAGACACGGUCCAGACUCCUACGGGAGGCAGCAGUAGGGAAUCUUCCGCAAUGGGCGAAGGCCUGACGGAGCAACGCCGCGUGAGUGAUGGAGGUCUUCGGAUCGUAAAACUCUGUUAUUAGGGAAGAACAAAUGUGUAAGUAACUAUGCACGUCUUGACGGUACCUAAUCAGAAAGCCACGGCUAACUACGUG